GCCGGGGUCGCAUAAUCUGGUAUUGCGCUAGAUUGCUAAGAACUGGAAGUUCUUAAGAAGCUUGCGAUACCACAAACAUCUAGUGUCCGUAUGGGCGUGCGGGUUCAAAUCCCGCCCUCGGCG
rnacentral:tRNA from 1 species